rnacentral:rRNA from 1 species
UACGUAGGUGGCAAGCGUUGUCCGGAUUUACUGGGCGUAAAGAGCGCGCAGGCGGUCGUUCAAGUCGAGUGUGAAAGCCCCCGGCUCAACUGGGGAGGGUCACUCGAUACUGAUCGACUCGAAGGCAGAAGAGGGAAGCGGAAUUCCCGGUGUAGUGGUGAAAUGCGUAGAUAUCAGGAAGAACACCCGUGGCGAAGGCGGCUCUCUGGGACGGUACUGACGCUGAGACGCGAAAGCGUGGGGAGCGAACAGG